CCUCUUUAAUCCCACAGGUUAAAGGUGGCCUGUGUUCUUCUUAGGUCCUCCAUUCUGUGUCUUCUUUGUAUUUGUCUUAUUUUAAAUGGCUUUGACCGACAGCAGGAGUUUGUAUAGUGGUUUUCAGAUAAUGUCUGCAUUAAUGUACUGUAGGCAGAGGGCUGAUUGUGCUGGAGACCAUAUUAAGGAAUUGUAAUAUAAAAAUUACACUGAAUUAUAAACAUGCAGGGGCACAUUAUUAUAACUAAUUAUUAAGCUUACAAAGAGGCCAAGUGGUACUUGGUAAAUCUUAUUAUUUAGUGUGGUGGAAAACUGUUUUGCAUCAGUGGAAAUAGCACACUGAAAUAUCGAUCCUUUUAUGCAGAGUAAAGAUAAUAGUGGCUGGAAUACAGGAUCAGCCAUGUGCUGUGUGAAAGAUGGCAAGCUUAAAAAAACUGUUUGUAUUUUUGACAAAUUGUCUUAACAUAAUCCACAUGCUUUUCUGAUUUAAAAUAUGAAAGUUAAACAAAGUUUAUACUGAAGUUACAUCCAUUAAGAAACUGGUAAAAUUGUCUCCCAAGCUCAGACUCCAGCGUUAGAUGUGUGUGUGUGUGUGUGUGUGUGUGUGUGUGUGUGUGUGGAGUCCUGCACACAUUUGAAUUGUGAAUUCACAUUGCAUUCCCUUGUAAGGAUGUGCUGUUUUUAAUUGAGUAAAACAUGGUGGGGUAUUUUAAAUUAGGCCUGAUUAUAAUUGCAGAUGGCAACUGAGCUUUUGGAAGCUGGUUUCUUUAACUGUUAAAUAAAAAUUGUCUUUUUUAGUAUUGGUUUGUAGAAGUUCAGCAGUGGUUGUUUAGGGGGAAAAAACACUUUUGCCUCUUUAUUUCCAUUAAAUUAAAUCUCACAGCAUAUCCAUCUUCUGUUAAGGGGGUUUGACUCUGAAGAAAUUUUUCUUGAUAGUUGAUUAAGUGAAAAAUUUGGGCUUAUAAAGCUGAACUUUCUGGAGGCUUUCUGUUGUUGAGUAUGGAAAACCUGUGAUAGAUACUUUCCAGGUGUUCUUCUCUGGAUAGCUAUUGAGCCAGUGCAAUAAUAAAAAGGUUUUUUUUUUUUUUUUCUUUUUUUUUAAACUCUGAAAAGUCCCUUUCACUAUUUAGUACAUCUUUAAAUCAUCAAAAUUGGUACUUUAGCACAGCCUUCUUCUGUUUGGUAGGCAAACUUGACAUUCUGUAGCUCUGAUUCGACCCCUAGCCUGGGAACCUCCAUAUGCCGUGGGUGCACCCUAAAAAAACAAAACAAAACAAAAGAAUCUGAAAUAUAUAUAAAUAUAUAAAUUAUUAUAUAAACAAUAACUGAAUCGCUUUGCUGUACACUGGAAAAACAAUGUUGUAAAUCAAUUAUACUUCAAUGAAAUAACAGAAAAAAAAUCUGUUUCCUCUUCCUUCCAACUGAAUCCUUGUAUUAUGCGAUGGUAACAAACUGAACAAAAAAGCCCCACAUUUCCUAACUUGCCAUUGUGAAUAGGGAUGAUUGAUGAGUUAUGAGCAGAAGCUGUUGUUUGGGUUGCCAGGAAAGCUAUUCUUAAGGGAUUCAUUCAGUUGGAAAGUGUCUCUUUUUGAUAUUUCACAUUUUGCAUUUUGGAUGUGAAAUACAGAUGUGAUAGUUUGGAGCUAAAGCAGCCAUUUUGAGACCAUGAGGGGAAGGCCAGGAGAAUUGCAGAGCCUGGGACAUCCUUUAGCUGCUGAGUGUCUACCCGCAGCCACCUCCCUCCAGACUUCUUGUUGUAUGUUAUGUUUUUAAGCCUCCGUAAUGGGUCUUUAAGCCUCUGUAAUAGUAGCAUCAGAAUAUAGUUCCUGAUAUUAAAUCCCAGAUUCCCUGCCUGUAAAAUGAGGAUAAUAGAAUUUAUGCUUUGGGGUCAUUUGAGGAUUUAUUGACAUCAUGUGCAAAGUAUUGAUUGAUUACCAUUUUGAUUGGCAGUUGCUACCUUUGUUUUGAAACUACUGUUACCAUUAUCACAUGUUACUUACAUAUUACCUUUAAGUAGAUGUAUUCAUUCUCUAGGAUUGCUGUAACAAAAUACCCCAAACUGGGUGACUCAUAGCAGAGAUUUUCUGUCUCACAGAGACCAGAAGUCUUGGAUUAAGGUGUUGGCAGGGUUGCUUCCUUCCUUCUGAGGGCCAGAGGGAAGAAUCUGCUCCAAGUCCCUCUCCUUGACUUAUAGAAGGCUUUUGUCUCUCUGUGUCUUCACUCUAUGUAUGUCUGUGCUCAGAUAUCCCCUUUUUAUAGAUAUCAGUCUUGUUGGAUUAAGGCACCCUAGAGACCUCAUUGUGACUCGAUUACCUCUGUAAAGAUGCUGUCUCCAGAUAACAUCAUUUUCCAAGGUAUUGAUAUCAAUAUAUUCUUUUUUGGGGUACACAAUUCAACCCAUAACAGUACCUAUGUAACAUUAUCAGUGAGAUUUUAGUCUCUCACCCCUUUUCAGAUUAUAAAACUCUUUACAAAAAAAAUCAAAUAUUGGGAAUUCCUGUUGUGGUUCAGCAGCAAUGAACUCGACUAGUAUCCAUGAGGAUGCAGGUUUGAUCUCUGGCAUCACUCAGUGGGUUAAGGCUCCAGUAUUGCCGAGAGCUGUGUUUCAGGUCAAAGAUGCUGCUUGAAUCUGGCAUUGCUGUGGUUGUGGCUGUGGCCAGCAGCUGCAGCCUCAAUUCGACCCUAGCCUGGGAAUUUCCAUAUGCUGUGGGUGCGGCC
rnacentral:lncRNA from 1 species